rnacentral:ncRNA from 2 species
GGCAAAGUUAAUAAGGGCGCACGGUGGAUGCCUUGGCACUAAGAGCCGAUGAAGGACGUGACUAACGACGAUAUUCUAGGGGGAGCAGUAAGUACGCAUUGAUCCCUAGGUCUCCGAAUGGGGAAACCCAGCUGCUACUAGCAGUUAUUCAUGAGUGAAUACAUAGCUCAUGUAAAGGUAACGCAGAGAACUGAAACAUCUAAGUACCUGCAGGAAGAGAAAGUAAAAACGAUUUCGUAAGUAGCGGCGAGCGAACGCGAAGAAGGGCAAACCAAGAAGCUUGCUUCUUGGGGUUGUAGGACUGCAACGUGGACUUAAGCAUUAUAGUCGAAUAACCUGGGAAGGUUAAUCAAAGAGGGUAAUAAUCCCGUAGACGAAAUAGCGCUUAUACCUAGCAGUAUCCUGAGUAGGGCUGGACACGCGAAAUCCAGUUUGAAUCCGGGAGGACCAUCUCCCAACCCUAAAUACUCCUUAGUGACCGAUAGUGAACCAGUACCGUGAGGGAAAGGUGAAAAGAACCCCGAGAGGGGAGUGAAAUAGCACCUGAAACCGUGUGCCUACAAGAAGUUCGAGCCCGUUAAUGGGUGAGAGCGUGCCUUUUGUAGAAUGAACCGGCGAGUUACGUUAUGAUGCGAGGUUAAGUUGAAGAGACGGAGCCGUAGGGAAACCGAGUCUGAAUAGGGCGACUUAGUAUCAUGAUGUAGACCCGAAACCUAGUGACCUAUCCAUGAGCAGGGUGAAGGUGUGGUAAGACGCACUGGAGGCCCGAACCAGGACACGUUGAAAAGUGUUUGGAUGACUUGUGGAUAGCGGAGAAAUUCCAAACGAACUGGGAGAUAGCUGGUUCUCUCCGAAAUAGCUUUAGGGCUAGCGUCGAAAUGUAAGUGUAUUGGAGGUAGAGCACUGUUUGGGUGAGGGGUCCGUCUAGGAUUACCAAUCUCAGAUAAACUCCGAAUGCUAAUACACAUGUUCGGCAGUCAGACUGCGAGUGCUAAGAUCCGUAGUCGAAAGGGAAACAGCCCAGACCAACAGCUAAGGUCCCAAAAUAUAUGUUAAGUGGAAAAGGAUGUGGGGUUGCACAGACAACUAGGAUGUUAGCUCAGAAGCAGCUAUCAUUCAAAGAGUGCGUAAUAGCUCACUAGUCGAGUGACCCUGCGCCGAAAAUGUACCGGGGCUAAACAUAUUACCGAAGCUUUGGAUUGAUAUUUUAUCAAUGGUAGGAGAGCGUUCUUAACCGCGAUGAAGGUAUACCGUGAGGAGUGCUGGAGCGUUAAGAAGUGAGAAUGCCGGUAUGAGUAGCGCAAGAUAAGUGAGAAUCUUAUCCACCGUAAGACUAAGGUUUCCAGGGGAAGGCUCGUCCGCCCUGGGUUAGUCGGGACCUAAGGCGAGGCCGAAAGGCGUAGUCGAUGGACAACUGGUUGAUAUUCCAGUACUAGAUAUGAUCGUGAUGGAGGGACGCAGUAGGCUAAGAGAUGCCAGUUAAUGGAUUCUGGUCUAAGCAGUGAGGUGUGAGAUGUGUCAAAUGCAUUUCUCUCUAACAUUGAGCUGUGAUGGGGAAGCAACUACGGUUGCGAACUCUCUGAUGUCACACUGCCAAGAAAAGCUUCUAGCGUAAAGUCAUAUCUACCCGUACCGCAAACCGACACAGGUAGUCGAGGCGAGUAGCCUCAGGUGAUCGAGAGAACUCUCGUUAAGGAACUCGGCAAAAUAGCCCCGUAACUUCGGGAGAAGGGGUGCUGGUGUAAAAGCCAGCCGCAGUGAAUAGGCCCA